rnacentral:lncRNA from 1 species
UCAUUGAAAGCUCACUGGCUCCUCAAGUUCACUGACUCGAAAGCAAGAAAGGUAGGUCGAAUAAAUUCCCACUUCAUUUUUGAUCGGCACUUGACUACUAUGAAUGAGAAGGGGCACAACCCUUAGCACAAGGGGCAAAUCAUGCCCUUCGAAAAGAAACCUUGUUUAGUAUGUUGGUCUCUUUCAUGAUCUGUGUAGUCCGAUUCUUCUUCUUCGGAUUCUCCCAACAAGGGCUAUAUAUAGUCUUCCUUGGAAAUCUUAGUAGUGAGGCGAAAUUCCCCUUCUUCAAGUCAGCUUCAAGCCAAUCGAGAUCACGCUUCUUCUCGUGGACCGGCAGACAAGGAAAGACCGAUGUAAGAUGGCAGUCAGACUGAGGAGGAGUCGGUCAAGUAGUACGAAAGAAGGGAUUUCGUCUAUUGUCCAUUAGUAAUACUCGUCAAAAUGGAAAUCCAAAUAGCAUUCUUACCAUUAACAUCCAUAGGAGUAAAUGAUUCAUCCCAAUCCGGAUGUUCAGGAAGGGCAUUGUCGACUAAAGAGAUGGUUCUGUCAAAAGACUCUUAUAGCUAUUGUAGAUUUACGAAUUGACGGAAUGGUGCUUUGUUCACACCUAUGUUGAUCUACCGCUGCUUUACACGUCCCUGGAUAGGCACAUUUUACCGGAAAGAGAUAGACGGGCAGAAGAUCAAUGAAAAAAGACUAGCUAGCGUGAGCGGGGGGAGUCUACGACAACCAAUACUUAUCCAAUGAAAUUGCCAAUUGCAGCAGACUUUGACUUCGCAAUUGAAGUGAAGACCUCAGGUCUAGGGGGCCCAAUCAUUGCAUUUGAAAGCAGCGCUAGAAAGCCUAUAAGAGCUGUAAACUCGUUAUAUAGGCACGUAAACGUAAAGAAGGGCUGAACCCCUUACAUGCUUACGUCGAAACCUAACCCUCUGGGACUAUCUUACUUACAAACCAUAGCCUUUCAAAACCAGACAACUGGACGUUCAUUGGUGAUGUCGAUUCCUGCUUGCUAACUGCUUUUCUCGAAGACUAGCUAGGGCAAAACUGGAUCUAAUAGGUUAUUGACUUUUGAAGACUAACAACGGGUACUAACCUUUCCGGGAAAAUCAAGUACGGGUGUCAAAAUCAAUGUGGUGGGAUAGCUUUUCCUUCUAUGUCCGCUAGGUUCUUCCCUUUAGGACUGGCUUUCUUAACUCAUCUAACAGGAUUUGAAGCUUGAGAAGAGAGGGAUGAAAGAACGAGACUUGACUCUAAUCAAUAGGCGAGAGAGGCAUUCUAUUUCUAUUAGGGCUGGCAGGAGAGAAAAUCACUUGAAAACUCGUAGAGCUUAAGAGCUUAUUGGCUUGUCCUAGAACUGGCUAUCCAAGACAACAACUGCAACUUUCGCGCCAACUGGAUUACUUGAAACUCCUUCAAAAAUGGCUUAACACGCUAUCAAAAGGAAAUUGGAAAAGGCGAAGGGCUUAGCAAUAGGAGCAACUGGCCCGCCAUCGAAUAAGAAUAAUCAAUAUGCUGCUAAUAGAUUGGGUGGGGUCAUAUUACAUAGGGAAAGGGGAAGAAAUCAAUAUAUCCCUUUCAUAGGGAUAGGCCCUAUGGUAGUACUGCUUUCACUCCAAGCUAUAUAUGCCUAAAAUAACAGACGUAUUCUGCCUUAUUCACGCUCUAUCUAGAAAAGCCCAACCCUAGAACCCAUUUUCUUUUGAAUUAGAACCAGCUAUCCAUGCAACCCAUUCCCGACUAUAGAAGGCAUGUCCCCCCUCCCUAAAUCCAUCUAUUAUACCUAUUAGGGUAUUAGC